rnacentral:lncRNA from 1 species
UCGGGCUUUGGGAAGGUGUUUUCUAUCAUGUGAUCCAUAUUUAAAAGAUACCCGAUAUCUUUAUAUCAAAUGACCAACAUUUUAAAUAAAUAUCAUUGCACAACUCUUAACAUUUCAGCCGCGAUAUCACCUGGAAAGAGUUUAAAGCGUAGGCCGAGGAUCUGGUGUGUGGUCAAUGUAUGACACCUGAACUGAUUAGCACAAUGCCGCAUAAUACUCUCUUUUUAUCAUACAUUACCCACUUUAUCACUUUAUAGAUCUACUUAGUCUACUAUAGGGAACAGGGAAAUAUUGCAUAACUUUAAUAUAGAUAUUAAGGAAAUAUUACUUCACUUGCCAAAUUUAGAUAAACGAUAAACGAGUUUUG